AGCUCCAGGCUCUCCCUGGUCCCACUUCCUCAGACUGGGGUCCUGGAGAGGGACCCUUUGCCCAGGGCCCAGGAAAUGCAGCUGUACCGCCGGAGCAAGCCUGAGCUCUGUCCGUGAUGGCUGAGGACCAUGUGACCUUGAAGUCUGGGUUUGGGGGUAAAGCCAUGGAGGGAGCCACAGGCAGCCGCCCAGGCCUCCUGGAGAAGCCAGUUCCCACGGCCGCCAGCCCCACUCUGUCCUCGCUGGGUGCCGUCUUCAUCCUCCUGAAGUCUGCGCUGGGGGCCGGCCUGCUCAGCUUCCCCUGGGCCUUCUACAAGGCGGGUGGGGUGACCCCUGCCUUCUUGGUGGAGCUGGUCUCCCUGGUCUUCCUCAUCAGCGGGCUGGUCAUCCUGGGCUACGCUGCUUCCGUCAGCGGCCAGGCCACCUACCAGGGCGUGGUUGGAGACCUGUGCGGCCCCACCAUUGGGAAGCUGUGUGAGGCCUGCUUCAUUGUCAACCUGCUCAUGAUCUCUGUGGCCUUCCUCAGGGUGAUUGGGGACCAGCUGGAGAAGCUGUGCGACUUCCUGCUGCCCAGCGCCCCGCCGGCCCUGCAGCCCUGGUACACCGAGCAGCGCUUCACCCUGCCCCUGCUCUCCGCACUGGUCAUCCUGCCGCUGUCCGCCCCACGGGAGAUCGGGUUCCAGAAAUACACGAGCAUCCUAGGCUCCCUGGCCGCCUGCUACCUGGCCCUGGUCAUCAUGGUGCAGUACUACCUCGGGCCCCCAGGCCUCGUCCAUGAGCCCCACCCUGCAGCGAGGCCCUCCUCCUGGACCUCCGUGUUCAGUGUCUUCCCGACCAUCUGCUUCGGAUUCCAGUGUCACGAGGCCGCGGUGUCCGUCUACUGCAGCAUGCGCCACCAGAGCCUUUCCCGCUGGGCCCUGGUCUCCGUGCUGUCCCUGCUGGCCUGCUGCCUCAUCUACUCGCUCACAGGGGUUUAUGGCUUCCUGACCUUUGGGACGGAUGUUUCUGCCGACAUCUUGAUGUCCUACCCUGGCAACGACGUCAUCAUCAUCGUGGCCCGGGCUCUCUUCGGGGUCUCCAUCGUGACUGUCUAUCCCAUCGUGCUCUUCCUGGGGAGGUCGGUGAUGCAGGAUUUCUGGAGGAGGAGCUGCUGCCUGGCAGGUGGGCUCGGGGCCCUGGCGGAGCCCUCGGGGCCGUGGGUCCGGGGGCUGCUGACCGUGCUGUGGGUGGCCAUGACGCUGGCCAUGGCCCUGUUCCUGCCCGACCUCAGCGAGAUCAUCGGCAUCAUCGGGGGCAUCAGUUCCUUCUUCAUCUUCAUCUUCCCAGGCCUGUGCCUCAUUUGUGCUGUUGGUGUCGAGCCCGUGACUCCACGUGUCAAGUGCUGCUUGGAGGUGUGGGGAGUGGUCUCCGUGCUCGUGGGCACCUUCAUCUUCGGGCAGAGCACGGUGGCCACGGCCUUGGAACUCUUCUGAGCGGGAGGGGUCGGCCCGGCCUCCACGCGGCGCUGGUGCGGCACCCCUGUCCUUCCAUCAUAAAGAUGCUGCAGAAACGGAUGCGUCCUGUCUUCUGAGGGUGCUCAUUUGGGCUUCUGUGGGUUCGGAGGAUUUCAGGUGCGGUGCCGAGGAGGGUGUAUUGAUGUCCUGGGACUCCCCUAACAGAAGGCCACGUGCUGGGGGCCUCAGACAGCAGCCAUCGAUCCCCGCAGUCCCGGGGCCUGGGGUCUGAGAUCGAGGCCUGGGCAAGGCCGUGCUCCCUCUGAGGGCUCUCGGUGAGCCCUCCCGCCUCCAGCCUCCUCCAGCCGCUGGUGUUGCUGGCCAUCCUGGGCAUGUCUUGGCCUGUAGGUACACCCCGUUCGCCUCGGCUCCCCGCCCCCGACAUGGUAUCCGCCCUGCGUGUCUGUCCAGAGUUCUCUCCUCUGACAAGGACACCAGUCACUGGCUCUGAACCACCCUAGUGCAGGGUGACCUCUCCUGAACUUAGGGGCUGCAAAGAAGUCACGGUCACAAGUCCCCAGAGUCGGGACUUCCACUCACCAUCUCCAGGGGAUACAGUUCAGACCAGAAGUUGGGGCUGAGGCCCAGGGACCUCAGCUUUGGCCCCCACUCUGAUGGGAGGACCCCGAGGAGAGCCCCCUUUCCCUUCCGGCUGGACCUGAAGAGCCUGGGAGCCCAGUGGACUGUUGGCUCUGUCCUUCCUUCCCAACCCCAGCCAGUCCUGGGGUCAGGGUUAUACCUGCAGCUGGGGACAAGGGGCCCUGGGGGUCAGCCCUGGGCCCAGGGUAGGGGAGAGGGUGGGGAGGGAGGCAGCCAGGGGCUCAGCUGCUCCUGUCACUGUGCUCAUUGGCACUGACCCUGCAUGGGACCUGGGGUGUCUGGGCUGUCACUGGAUCUGGGCCACUCUUCCUCUGCCUUGGGACGUCGGCCGGAAGCAGCGGUGCUGGAGCCAGGAGAUGGUGGUGAGAAACCUGUGCCACCAGCAGUCCCUGCCUGGCCCCGGGGAGCAUGAGGCUGCCGUCUCCAUGGACCUGCUGCUUCCGGACACUCUGUGAGCAGCCUUCGUGUCUGGCUCCUUUGACUUCAGUGUGUUUUCAAAUUCGUCCAUUUUACAGGCUGGCCUCCACACACCCCCAACGGGAGGCUCGGGUGUGGAACUGGACACGGUGAGAACGUGGAUCGGCCACUGAACGCAGGGUUGAAAUCUGUUCUCCCCGGAGCCUGUUCCCACCUACUCAGAAUCCACUGAGGCUCCGCGAGCUCAAGCUGCCGUCAGCAGAGAUGCUACAGUCUGGGCGCAGUGCUCGGGCCAGCGGGCAGGACGAGGGGAGCGCCCAGCUCGUGGGAUUCCUCAGCUGUACCCCAAGGAGCCUCAGCCCCGAGAAUCUUUGUAAAACCGCGGAGCUGAUGGGAGCAGCACUGGCUUUGGGGGUGCUUGUGGAUGCUGUGGGCGGGACCCCGUUACAUGCCACUCUCAGGAGUAGCAGUUCCGGUCCUCAAGGAAGGGUAUUCUCCCGCUUCACGGAUGAGGAAACGGGGGCUCAGGGAGGCUGGCUGCAGGGAAGUGCUGCUGGGAGGUACGUAGCCGGGGUUGGAACUUGCUUUUUACGUUUCCCGGAAGCCCACCUUGUGGGUCACUGGGUGUGCCUGAAGGGCCAGCAUCCACCCCUGUCAGGAGGUGGCAGGACCCAAGGGGGGAGGGAGCAGGGGCCUUACGGCUCCCAGCAGCCCCACGUGGCAGUGACCACUGUCCUCUCGUCGCCAUGUCCCAGGCUGGCCGCUCUGGGCGCCUCCGUGGCCCCAGAACUCCCACCAGGCCCCACCGACACACAGUUGCCCUGGCUGAGGACCUCUCUUUCCUGGUCCCUUGGGGUUCCUGUGUCUGACUGCUCCCAGGACAGGGACACAGAGUGGGGGCGUUAAAGAGGUUCCAGAACAGGACUUGAAAUAAUGUAAGUCUCGAGUCUUGUUGGAAUAGCUCUCUUACAGGUGUGCAGUGAAGGGUCCACGGCGCCCGGAGCCACGUGCCCUCGGACUUCGGCUGCUGGGAGGGGAGCUCUAGAAUGUCCUGAUCUCAAACCUUGGUUUACUUGGCGGCCUCCGACCUGGAGGUUUCCGCUUGACUGCAGGAGGCUGGAGGCGAAGUCAGCACGCGGCAGGGCUGGGCCCCCAUCGCCCAGGCUCUGGAGAGCAGGACUGUGCCCGUCGUCACAGCGGAGUGAACUGGCUCCGCUGAGUUCCACGAGUCCUUGUCGUGAACCCCUAGGCCCGAGGGGAGCGCCCGGGGCCUCCCAGGACUUCGGAGCGGGCACGGCCUUGUCCGUCAGACGCACCUCAAAUCGAUCAGCUCCGUGUUCCAGGACCCGCUGCACACCCCCUUCCGUCUACCUGGCACCAGGAUCCUGGAGAGGGCCU